UUCCGGUUGAUCCUGCCGGAAGUCACUGCUAUCGGUGUUCGACUAAGCCAUGCGAGUCAAAUGUUCUUCGUGAACAUGGCGUACUGCUCAGUAACACGCGGAUAACCUGCCCUUAGGUCUGGCAUAACCCCGGGAAACUGGGGAUAAUUCCGGAUAGAUCAUAGAUGCUGGAAUGCGCUUUGAUCCAAAGCUAUUGUGCCUAAGGAUGGGUCUGCGGUCUAUCAGGUUGUAGUGGGUGUAAUGUACCUACUAGCCUACGACGGAUACGGGUUGUGGGAGCAAGAGCCCGGAGAUGGAUUCUGAGACAUGAAUCCAGGCCUACGGGGCGCAGCAGGCGCGAAAACUUUACAAUGCGGGAAACCGCGAUAAGGGGACACCGAGUGCCAGCAUCCUAUGUUGGCCGUCCAUAUGUCUAAAUCACAUGUGUUAGCAAGGGCCGGGCAAG
rnacentral:rRNA from 1 species